CAAAAAGAAAAGUCAUACAACAUUGUCAAGGUACUUAAUGCCACUGACUUGUACACUUAAAAUGGUUAAAAGGGAAAAAAGGUCAUUCUUGUGUUCCUGUAUCUUACCACAAUUUUUACAAAAGAAACAGAAACUAAAUCUCGUCAGGAGCAAAAAGUCAGAUAAACCCAAAAUUUUGGAUCAUUCUCCAGAAAAACUGACCUCCACUCUUCAAAAAUGUCAAGAUCAUAAAAGGACAAAAAAGGUUUGAGGUACCUAUAAGGAGCUACUGAUGCCUUCUGGAAACUAUGUGUGGGCUGCUAAUGAGAGAACAUGACCAUUUGCUGUGACUGUGUUAGUCAAGUGAUAGACAGAGAUCGCCCCAGCAAGUGCCUCCUGAGGACGGGUUCCAGCCCCAACCCUCGAUCAUAUCAAGCACAACUUCCGCUAUUAAUCUCGGUAAUGAUGGUCCAGGUGUAACAAAUCCCACCUGAUUGAAAGCAGCAGGGGUAGAUGUGUUAACUUUUAUAAAAACAUAGGUACAAGGUAUAAGAUUGGGAUUCUGAUUCUUGGCUCCUCAAAGGCCUGAAGAAUGAAGAUUGAUGCCAUCUAAAAGCAAAUUAGAAGACUUUGCCCAGGCCCAGGCCCCGGAAUAGUGUACUGGAGAUGACACUGUGUUUAGAGUGCCGUUUCAGGUUAAAUCAGCAUCCCUGCAAUGUGCCAGACCUAUUGUCACAGCAAUAUGUACCCCGGUUCACACACAGAAUGUUUGCUCUCUGGCAGCCAAAUGCACUUGGAACUGGCAGUAAUGACCUCACAAAAGCAGGAAAGCUGAGCAGUUAGUCAGAUGAUUAACAAGGUAUUGAGAUGGAAGAGUUGGGUAUCACUUAAUGGAAAUAUCUUGGCAUCUCAGAAUCAAAGUUUCCAAACUCGGAGGCAGUUUAGGAACCAUCAUAUCCAAAAUCCUUGCUUUACAAAUGUGGCAACUGAGGCUUAAAAAAAAAGACAGGUCUCAGGGCUCCUUGCCUGAACAAAGUUAAAGUGUAUUUCUUCCAAUACAA